UAGGGAAUCUUCCACAAUGGGCGCAAGCCUGAUGGAGCAACACCGCGUGAGUGAAGAAGGGUUUCGGCUCGUAAAACUCUGUUGUUGAAGAAGAACGUGCAUGAGAGUAACUGUUCAUGCAGUGACGGUAUUCAACCAGAAAGUCACGGCUAACUACGUGCCAGCAGCCGCGGUAAUACGUAGGUGGCAAGCGUUAUCCGGAUUUAUUGGGCGUAAAGCGAGCGCAGGCGGUUGCUUAGGUCUGGUGUGAAAGCCUUCGGCUUAACCGAAGAAGUGCAUCGGAAACCGGGCGACUUGAGUGCAGAAGAGGACAGUGGAACUCCAUGUGUAGCGGUGGAAUGCGUAGAUAUAUGGAAGAACACCAGUGGCGAAGGCGGCUGUCUGGUCUGCAACUGACGCUGAGGCUCGAAAGCAUGGGUAGCGAACAGG
rnacentral:rRNA from 1 species